UACGGAGGGUGCAAGCGUUAUCCGGAUUCACUGGGUUUAAAGGGUGCGUAGGCGGGUUGGUAAGUCCGUGGUGAAAUCUCCGAGCUUAACUCGGAAACUGCCGUGGAUACUAUCAAUCUUGAAUAUCGUGGAGGUAAGCGGAAUAUGUCAUGUAGCGGUGAAAUGCUUAGAUAUGACAUAGAACACCAAUUGCGUAGGCAGCUUACUACACGAUCAUUGACGCUGAGGCACGAAAGCGUGGGGAGCAAACCGG
rnacentral:rRNA from 1 species